GAUGAACGCUGGCGGCGUGCCUAAUACAUGCAAGUCGAACGCUGGAGAUCUAGCUUGCUAGAUCGAAGGAGUGGCGAACGGGUGAGUAAUACAUAAGCAACCUACUCACGAAGACUGGGAUAAUCUCUGGAAACGGGGACUAAUACCGGAUAGGUAAUCGGAAGGCAUCUUCUGGUUAUUAAAGGUUAAAAACACUGGUGGAUGGGCUUAUGGCGCAUUAGUUAGUUGGUGAGGUAACGGCCCACCAAGACGAUGAUGCGUAGCCGGCCUGAGAGGGUGAACGGCCACAUUGGGACUGAGACACGGCCCAGACUCCUACGGGAGGCAGCAGUAGGGAAUUUUCGGCAAUGGGGGCAACCCUGACCGAGCAACGCCGCGUGAGUGAAGACGGCCUUCGGGUUGUAAAGCUCUGUUGUAAGGGAAGAACGGUAGAUAGAGAAUAUCUAAGUGACGGUACCUUACCAGAAAGCCACGGCUAACUACGU
rnacentral:rRNA from 1 species